ACGGAGGGUGCAAGCGUUAUCCGGAAUCACUGGGUUUAAAGGGUGCGUAGGCGGCGCAAUAAGUCAGAGGUGAAAGGCCACAGCUCAACUGUGGGACUGCCUUUGAUACUGUAGUGCUUGAAUUAGGCUGAGGUCGGCGGAAUGUGACAUGUAGCGGUGAAAUGCUUAGAUAUGUCAUAGAACACCAAUUGCGAAGGCAGCUGACUAGACCUUAAUUGACGCUGAGGCACGAAAGCGUGGGGAGCGAACAGG
rnacentral:rRNA from 1 species